AUCCAGUUCAUGAGUUCUAAAUAGAACGAAACGCGCAUCCUGGAU
rnacentral:hammerhead_ribozyme from 1 species